rnacentral:rRNA from 1 species
GAUGAACGCUGGCGGCGUGCCUAAUACAUGCAAGUCGAGCGAACGGACGAGAAGCUUGCUUCUCUGAUGUUAGCGGCGGACGGGUGAGUAACACGUGGAUAACCUACCUAUAAGACUGGGAUAACUUCGGGAAACCGUAGCUAAUACCGGAUAAUAUUUUGAACCGCAUGGUUCAAAAGUGAAAGACGGUCUUGCUGUCACUUAUAGAUGGAUCCGCGCUGCAUUAGCUAGUUGGUAAGGUAACGGCUUACCAAGGCAACGAUGCAUAGCCGACCUGAGAGCGUGAUCGGCCACACUGGAACUGAGACACGGUCCAGACUCCUACGGGAGGCAGCAGUAGGGAAUCUUCCGCAAUGGGCGAAAGCCUGACGGAGCAACGCCGCGUGAGUGAUGAAGGUCUUCGGAUCGUAAAGCUCUGUUAGUAGGGAAGAACAUAUGUGUAAGUAACUGUGCACAUCUUGACGGUACCUAAUCAGAAAGCCACGGCUAACUACGUG